AUCUUAUACCAAAGCCCCACACUGUAGCCUGUGAAGCCAUCAGAAGUCACAAGGGGAUUGUUAAUUACAUGCAACAUUUUUAUACUAAGAUCUUUCGUUUUGUAAUUUAUUAUUAUUAUUAUUAUUAUUAUUAUUAUUAUUAUCAUUUUUACAGAGAGUGACUUGGAUGUUUUGAAAAAAAUAUUGAAUACAUUCAUAAUCUUUUUAAUAGUAACUCCAUGAAGGAUACAUGAUCUAAAUUGAUAGCUCCUAGUGUAUUUUUAAAGACGACAACUAAAAGACUUCUGUAGGGAAAAUUGGUAAUUAAAGCAAGAUAAAUGUUUUUUAAGGCCCUUCCCCGCCUCCUGUUUGACAGUCAACGGGUUAAGCGGACCACCCGCUUUGGUCUUUGCAUCCUGUGAGAGCUGCCAGUCAGUCCUUCAGCCCUUACCACUCAAUUCUCUCAGUGCCUUCCUGGCUGGUCAGUACUUCCCGGAUCUUGUGAGCAAGUGGACAGACCUCGUUUGAAAGAAAUUAAACUUUAAACCCUGCAAUGCUGAGUGAUGACAAGUCUCAUGCUUCUUUUGUUUUGUUAUUUUUGUUUUGUUUUUGAUGUUUUGUUUGGCUUUGUUUUGUUUUGUCUUGCUCACUGACUGGACUCCACUAGCCAUGACACUACCUUUGAUAUCCUCCUCAUCAAAGGAGUACACUGUGUGAUACAAACAAUUCCCCUUGUGCCUAGUGGAUAUUCACAAAUGGGUGCCACACGCAACACGCAACACGCAAAGCAGCCUGAACGAACAUGUGUUGGAUUUGUCUUUGUUUUUACUAAAAGAAGUUUUAAAGUAUAAUCUUUUCUAUAGCGGUUCCUUUGAAAUAUGGGUCGGCAUGCACACGUCUGGUGUCUCACCCAUACCUGAAGGGGAAGCCUGUGGGAGUUUCACAGGGCAACUUUCCCUCUGAGGGGAAGCUGUGUGCUGGGCUGGAAAGCCCCAUUACCUGUGGCUCUUCUAUCCUGUUAUGGAUUGUCAGUUCCACUAACUUUUAUACGAAACAACCUGUUUACCUGUCAGUUUUUUAUUGUGCCAAUAGAAACUGGAACGGUUUUUAAUUCAGUUUUGAAUAAUUUUAUGAGGAUUGCUAAGUUUUAGGAGAACUUGACUCAGUUCACCAACUCAGCAAGUCACCCGAGAAGGGGAUCAGUGAGAGUCAAUCAACAAUACCUACUGUUGUUUAUUGAUGGUUUGUUGAAAACUCACUUUAGAUACCUUUAUACCAAAAAGCUCCCACUGGCGCCUUGCAGUGUGGGCUCACCACCCCCUACCCCCACCCCACGCCACGCCUGGUGGUUUGGGCUCUGCUGAGCCCAUGGUGGUGUGGGUUGUGUAGUUAGUGUGUCUCUGCUAUGCAGGAACACUGAAAGCAUAGGGUCUAAAUACCUUUGAUAGAUAAAAUGGUUGAUAUUUAAUAAAAUUUGUUGGUACUUAUUGUAUAUUUGGCUUCUUCUAAUAAAGAUUUCCAUAAGAGAC
rnacentral:lncRNA from 1 species